rnacentral:rRNA from 1 species
AGGAACGCUAGCGCGCAGUGCUUAACACAUGCAAGUCGAGGGGCAGCGCGGAGUAGCAAUACUCUGGCGGCGACCGGCGAAAGGGUGCGUAACACGUGAGCGACUUGCCCGUCACACGGAGAUAACCGCUGGAAACAGCGACUAAUAUCCCAUAUGAUGGCGAUCUGCAUGGAUUGUCAUUGAAAGAUUCAUCGGUGACGGAUAGGCUCGCGGGGCAUUAGCUAGACGGCGGGGCAACGGCCCACCGUGGCGACGAUGCCUAGGGGUUCUGAGAGGAAGACCCCCCACACUGGGACUGAGACACGGCCCAUACUCCUACGGGAGGCAGCAGUGAGGAAUAUUGAUCAAUGGGCGGAAGCCUGAACCAGUCAUGCCGCGUGAAGGACUAAGGGCCUAUGGGUCGUAUACUUCUUUAGACGCAAAGCAAUAAGGGUCUCGUGAGAUCCGAUGAGAGUAUGCGUACAAUAAGCAUCGGCUAACUCCGUGCCAGCAGCCGCGGUAAUACGGGGGAUGCGAGCGUUAUCCGGAUUUAUUGGGUUUAAAGGAUGCGUACGCUGAAGUGCAAGUCAUGCGGUAGAAAUCCCCGCGCUCAACGCGAGAGUUGCCGUUGAUACUGUACAUCUG